CUGUGUUUGGUAUGCAUUCUGGGAAUAAAUUCUAAGUCCAGAAACAUACUCUGAAGCAAAACUAUGUUUGGUAUGCAUUUUCAGAAUAAAUAAUGGGUCUAGAACACCUUCUGCAACAAUGAAAAUAGGGUUGUGUUUGAUUUCAGAUUUUAAAAUGUGUUAUAAACGGAUGAGUGCCGUAGCUGCGGGAAAGCAUCACACUCCGAGGUUCUGGGGGAUUAGCCGAAACCCAAAUCGAUACAUGCCGUGAUCUCAGGAGACUCCAUCCCGCCAUUUAUUUGGUAGCUUUUGCAUAUAGUAAUCUGGACCUAGAGGAUGCUUGAAAAAGAAAAAAAAAACAGUUAGGGAUAUUGUUGAACCAAAACUGCUUAGCAUUCUCCGUUGGUGCAAGAAACCUUUCUAAUGAGGAUAUCACAUGAAAGUUGUGCUCUCUGGAAAUGUUUGUCAGCUGAGGGCAAAGAGUAGGUCAGUAAGUUCACUGUUAAUAUUCUUAAUGAUGAAGGUCCAAACAGAAGGAAUGGCCCCAUUGGAGAUUCCUGAAGAUUCUAUUACAUGAACACCUCCUUCCAGAAUCAUAGUACUAAGCCAAACCUUGAUAGAUGGGGAAGUUUCUUUGUCAAGUAGUCGCAUCUCUUGGAUUCUAUGUCAUAAAUUCCAAGUAGCUGCUGGAAUCCACUCCAAUUCAUUCCCUAAGUCAUUUCCCAACUGCUCUAAAGGUAUGCAAAGGAGGUGAGGACUGUUGGAGCCCCAGUUUAGUGUACUGAGAAAUUUAAGCAGACUUUAGCUGUCCUUCACCUGCUGUUAUGGUCAAAUGGUGAAUAAGGGUGUCCAUCCUGACCUGAAUAACACAAAUGAUACAGGCUGAUAGAAUUCAAGACCACACUGACUGAUAAGAAAUUAGUUUGGUGUCGGUUUCAAGUUUAAUUUUUUUUUUUUUCCAGCUAAUCAAUCGGUCUAGGUUGGACCGAUUGGACUGAAAGGCACCCAACUGAGGCCAAUAACCAACCAAUUAACUCUUUAAGGAGGGAGCCUUCAUCCACACCCAAUGCUUCUCUCUUGUUUAUAGUCUUUCUAGCCCUUUCUCCUUUGCUUUUCUAAUGUGAGACUAAAAAUGGAACCCAUUCUUUGCUCUUUGGAGUAAAAGUGUGUAUUCUAUUGUAGAGUUUUUUGCCCACAUUGGAUAGCUACAGAGUAACAGAGGGGAAAGAUGGAGAAGAGCUAAUAAACAUGACUAGACCCUUAACAUUAUAAGAAUGCAUGAUGAGGCACAUGCUCCAUGGCCUAAAUAUGGGCUAUUGGUCCCAAAACCAGCCUAGAUCAAUGGAGCCUAAGAAAUGACCGAUGAGCCUGAGAAACCAGCCUAGAUCAAUUAGGGCCUGAAAACCGACUGGCAGUUAAGUUAUUUGGCUUCAAGGAUCAAUUAUAUAGUCCCUCGAUUUUGUUCUUGGAUCAGAUAGGUGAAGGGCCUAAUCGUGCUGACCGAUUGACACCCUUAACAAUGAAUCAAUGAGGAAAAUGAUAUCUUUCACUUCUAUUUGGACUUCCAAACUUCCCGUUUCUAUUUUUUUACUUUGUUGCUUAAUGUUUUCCUACAGUAUGACUUGAAUAUUUAAUUGUCUCAUUUAAUUGUUGCAUGUAUGGAAGCAUUAUGAAAUUCCCAGGUUUUAUUCAUCAA